rnacentral:rRNA from 1 species
GAUGAACGCUGGCGGCGUGCCUAAUACAUGCAAGUCGAGCGAACAGACGAGGAGCUUGCUCCUUUGACGUUAGCGGCGGACGGGUGAGUAACACGUGGAUAACCUACCUAUAAGACUGGGAUAACUUCGGGAAACCGGAGCUAAUACCGGAUAACAUGUUGAACCGCAUGGUUCAAUAGUGAAAGACGGCUUUGCUGUCACUUAUAGAUGGAUCCGCGCCGCAUUAGCUAGUUGGUAAGGUAACGGCUUACCAAGGCAACGAUGCGUAGCCGACCUGAGAGGGUGAUCGGCCACACUGGAACUGAGACACGGUCCAGACUCCUAUGGGAGGCAGCAGUAGGGAAUCUUCCGCAAUGGGCGAAAGCCUGACGGAGCAACGCCGCGUGAGUGAAGAAGGUCUUCGGAUCGUAAAACUCUGUUAUUAGGGAAGAACAAAUGUGUAAGUAACUGUGCACGUCUUGACGGUACCUAAUCAGAAAGCCACGGCUAACUACGUG